GAGAUUCUUGAGAAUUUCCUCACCAUUAGAUGUUGGGUAAGCAACAAAAUCGUAUCACCAUUUUCAUCAAUUAUAUCAUCUAAAAUAACUUUAAAUCAUGAUUUUAAGAUGGAAAUUUGGGGUUUUUAUAGAUAAAGUUAAAAAAGAAAUUUUCUUUGAUAUGGACCUCAUUUUUAACCCAUUUUCACAUGAAUUUUCUCCUUUAGAUUCAUAUAACCAUGGAGAAUAUACUUCUUUAAAAUAAAAUUCUAGUUUUACCCCUUUUAAUUUCAAACUCAUUUUUUGAAUCACUGUGGAUCUGACCCAAAUACGAUCGAUAAGGGUAUCAUUAUCUUUCUUUGAAUAGGUAGAUGCUAUAUUUUAAGUUGUAGUUGAUUCUAAGGUCGUUCGUAAUGAAAAGGCUUCGAGUUGAAUCACUUAAGACCAGGAUUUCAUCAGUUUGAGAUCCUAGCUUAAGUAUGAUACACUGAGGCUGCGUUCAUACUGCUGAUUUGGUGAAUUUUAGUGGUACUGGAGCGCUCUAAAGUUCAAAGUUACAUUUUAGGACCUCAUUAUAUAUUUAUUUGUGUAUUUAUCUCAUUUAUAGAGACAAACUAUUUAUUUUCAAAUUUUUUCAUGUAUUAGAUGCUCUUAUAUUUGUGACAUCAGAUUUUGGGGUUUUAUAUUACUUCUUCAAAGUUCUACUU